rnacentral:rRNA from 1 species
UAAACUAUUUAAAAUAAAUUAUUUUAUAUAUAAGUUUUUAGAUUAAUAUUAUUUAAUAAUAUUUUAAUAUAUAUAUAUAUAUUUCUAUAUAUAUAUAUAUAAAUAAAUAAAUAUUUAAGAAAUUAAAAUAAAUUAUAGUAAGUUAAAAAUUAUUAUAUAAAGUUUAAUUUUAGUUUAAAAAUUUAUUUAAUUUUUUAUUUACAUGUAAAUUUUAGUAAGAGUUUAAAAUUAAUUUAAAAAAUUUAAUUUAUUUUUUUUAUUCGCAGUAUAAAAUAUUAAUUAUUUAAGAAAUUAAGAAUUAUGAAUAAAUUUAUAUAUUAACAAAAUUUGUGCCAGCAGUUGCGGUUAUACAAAAAAUGUAAAUAAAUUUUAUUGAUAAAUAAUUAAAUGAAUUUAUUUUAAUUAAAAUAAAAUUUAUAAAGUGAAAUUUAAAAUUUUAAAUAAUUAUAAUUAAAAAUAUUGAUAUUAUGAAAUUUUAAUAUUAGACUAGGAUUAGAUACCCUAUUAUUUAAAAUGUAAAAUUUUAUCAAAGUAGUAUUAGUUAUGAUCUUGAAAUUUAAAAAUUUUGGCGGUAUUUUAGUCUAUUCAGAGGAACCUGUUCUAUAAUUGAUAGUCCACGAUAAACUUUACUUUAUUUAUUAGUUUAUAUAUCGUCGUUAUUAAAUAUUUUAUUAGAAUUAUAAUAUUUAAUAUUUUUAAUUAAAAAAUAUAUCAGAUCAAGGUGUAGUUUAUAAUAAAGAAGAAAUGGGUUACAAUAAAUUUAUUUUUGGAUUUAUAUA